rnacentral:lncRNA from 1 species
CGCAUUCGGGCCUAGGUUUUCAGCUCUGAAACUUCCGUUUCUAGACAGCAUAAAUGACGGCCGAUUCAUUUUUCACGCUCUACCGCAAACUGCAUUAAAAUGAGGAAAACAAUGAAAUUGAGCAACGGAAUCGAAAUGCGGAGCUGCGAAUUAAGCAAAAAUGGGGUCAGAGAUGAUAAAAAACCUGCGGCCGACACAGAUCUGCUUGAAGUAGGGCAAUCGAUGCAAAAUGGUGUAUCUGAAUGCGGAUGAUUAUUGCCUCAUGCAGAGAGAGGAGAGAAGGAUCAGCUCACCAGCAUUCUUCGCUUCAUACUCUGCUUAAUUAGAGGGAGAGAGAGAGAGAGAGAGAGGNUUAAGUAGAGAGAGAGAGAGAGAGAGAGAGAGGGGAAGGAGUGUGGACUUGAGCUACUGCAGAAUCUCAAAAAGUGAAAAUGAUGAUGGUGAACUAUAAGACGUGGUGCUAAAAUGCGCCGCGGUGAUGGCCUUCGUAAUUUUGCGCCUUGUUUGGUUAUUGGCAUUUAAGUUUUUUNCUGCAUUUUUG